rnacentral:rRNA from 1 species
AUUGAACGCUGGCGGCAGGCCUAACACAUGCAAGUCGAGCGGAUGAAGGGAGCUUGCUCCUGGAUUCAGCGGCGGACGGGUGAGUAAUGCCUAGGAAUCUGCCUGGUAGUGGGGGAUAACGUCCGGAAACGGGCGCUAAUACCGCAUACGUCCUGAGGGAGAAAGUGGGGGAUCUUCGGACCUCACGCUAUCAGAUGAGCCUAGGUCGGAUUAGCUAGUUGGUGGGGUAAAUGCCUACCAAGGCGACGAUCCGUAACUGGGAUGAGAGGAUGAGCAGUCAGACUGGAACUGAGACACGGUCCCGACUCCUACGGGAAGACGCAGUGGGGAAUAUUGGACAAUGGGCGAAAGCCUGAUACAGACAUGCCGGGGGUGGGAAGAAGGUCUUAGGAUUUUAAAGCACUUUAAGUUGGGAGGAAGGGCAGUAAGUUAAUACCUUGAUGUAUUGACGUUACCAACAGAAUAAGCACCGGCUAACUUCGUG